UACGUAGGGUCCGAGCGUUGUCCGGAAUUAUUGGGCGUAAAGAGCUCGUAGGCGGUCUGUUGCGUCGGUUGUGAAAACCUGGGGCUCAACUCCAGGCCUGCAAUCGAUACGGGCAGACUAGAGUUCGGUAGGGGAGACUGGAAUUCCUGGUGUAGCGGUGAAAUGCGCAGAUAUCGAGAGGAACACCUGCGGCGAAGGCGGGUUGCUGGGCCGACACUGACGCUGAGACGCGAAAGCGUGGGGAGCAAACAGG
rnacentral:rRNA from 1 species